rnacentral:rRNA from 1 species
AUUGAACGCUGGCGGCAGGCCUAACACAUGCAAGUCGCACGAGUGGCGGACGGGUGAGUAAUGUAUGGGAAACUGCCUGAUGGAGGGGGGUAACUACUGGAAACGGUAGCUAAUACCGCAUACCAUCGGCUAUGCCCAGCUGGGAUUAGCUAUUAGGUGGGGUAACGGAUCACCUAGGCGACGAUCCCUAGCUGGUCUGAGAGGAUGACCAGCCACCCUGUAACUGAGACACGGGCCAGACUCCGACGGGAGGCAGCAGUGGGGAAUAUUGCACAAUGGGCGCAAGCCUGAUGCAGCCAUGCCGCGUGUAUGAAGAAGGCCUUCGGGUUGUAAAGUACUUUCAGCGAGGAGGCGUUACUCGCAGAAGAAGCACCGGCUAACUCCGUGCCAGCAGCCGCGGUAAUUC